UUUCGACUGUCAUCGUUAACC
ensembl:piRNA 21ur-2532 ncRNA